rnacentral:rRNA from 1 species
UACGUAGGGUGCGAGCGUUGUCCGGAAUUAUUGGGCGUAAAGGGCUCGUAGGCGGUUUGUCGCGUCGGGAGUGAAAUCCACUGGCUUAACUGGUGGCUUGCUUUCGAUACGGGCAGACUGGAGUACUGCAGGGGAGACUGGAAUUCCUGGUGUAGCGGUGGAAUGCGCAGAUAUCAGGAGGAACACCGGUGGCGAAGGCGGGUCUCUGGGCAGUAACUGACGCUGAGGAGCGAAAGCGUGGGGAGCAAACAGG